UGUUCCCAUCCCCUAAACCCUGGUGGCCCUGUGUUUAAGUGGAAAAGGUAGCUGAAUGGGGCAGGGGGAGUACUAUUGAUAAUAAUCUUUAAAAGACAUGGAAAAGCUGAAAGUUGGUUUUUUUUUUUUUUUUUUUUUUUAAUCUUUUCCCCUAGGGAACUCUGAGAGAAAAUAGCUUCACGGCUUCCCAAUAUAAAGCUGGAGUGACUGUAAUAAUGCUGGAAGGUGAUUUCAUGUAUUUAAUAAAAGAGAGGGUCUGGAAAGUUCCCUUCCUCAAUUUCCCCACAAUUUUUACCAGACAUAGAAGCGGUCCAGAGGAUCCCAGGAGACCUUGCAGAGAGAGUAGAAGGUGACUGCCUCCCUGGGAUGGUCACGGUCUCUCCUAGAGGCUUGUCUAAAUGGAAAAAUGCAAUGGGGAUACCUCUAAGUAUUCCAGAAACAUCUAUAAGGUCCUUGAUGUCAUCUGAAUACAAAGAGCAAAUGGAGAAAGGAAAAGAAGAUUAAUUAUGUAAUUUUAUGGAGCAGGACCAGAGUGCUAAAUAUCACUUCUGUCUACAUUCUAUUGGCUAAAAUUCAAUAGAAAGAAAAAAAGCUUAAAAGAGAAAAAAAAUGUACCAUAGAGGGAGUUCCCGUCAUGGCGCAGUGGUUAACGAAUCCGACUAGGAACCAUGAGGUCGCGGGUUCGGUCCCUGCCCUUGCUCAGUGGGUUAACGAUCUGGCGUUGCCGUGAGCUGUGGUGUAGGUUGCAGACGCGGCUCGGAUCCCGCGUUGCUGUGGCUCUGGCGUAGGCCGGUGGCUACAGCUCCGAUUCAACCCCUAGCCUGGGAACCUCCAUAUGCUGUGGGAGUGGCCAAGAAAUGGCAAAAAGAAAAAAGAAUGUACCAUAGAAAAGAGCUAUAUUUUGCUCUUAAGAAAAUUAAAGGUGGACAUCAUCAUAUAAUCCUGAUGGAUGAUUACAAGUCAUGGAAUUGUCCUUAAACAUCUUUGGCUUUUUACAGACUCAAAGAUUUCAAAACCAAACUUAG
rnacentral:lncRNA from 1 species